UAUGCAAUUUAUUCUGCGUUUAAUAACAAUUUAAAACGUGCCUGCUGGGCUCUCUCGAUCGACUGCGUUGGUCAAGUCGAUGCAAAUGCGAAAAAAUAAAAAUAAAAAAUAAAUAAGACGACCCUGCAGCCCCUCCACUGCGCUGAAUCUAAUUGCCAUUCUGUUUUGUCCCCUCUUCGCUCUCCCCCUCCCCUCUCUCACGCUCUCACGCCCCUGCAGUGACGCAACGGCGUCCAACAGGAAGUUUACCAUAUAAGGACACUGACGUACUGGGAUUCCAUUUUUGAGCUGAAACUCAAAGUUCAUACAGAAGAGCAGAACUCAGCACAGAGCCUUAUGCCUACCACAGUCACGAUUACUAGACUAGUGAUUAGGACAGCUAAUACAUAGAGAAGAGUGGAGGCUGUUAUAGUUCCAUAUUAAUGCCCUGGUUUUGAAAUGGAAUGUCCAGCCAUCUCAUACUGCUGUGAUGGUCAGGUGUCCACAUACUUCUGGCUAUAUAAUGUAUUACACCAAGGGUAGACUACAGCUGCUUCCAGGCUCCAGUGAUGCUGUGCCAAGAGCAAAGCAUAGGGGGUGCAGUAAUAAUAUUCAGCCUGCUGCAGUGGAAGUUGUCUGACUCCCAGUACUGGGAGGGUCCCAGACCAGCUGGUCAAUUUAGACAUGAAACAUGGCGUUUAAGCAAAGAAUUAUGAAGAGGUAAGUAUCUGUUGCCAGCACGUUCCAGUAUUACCUUGUGCUGAAAUCAAUUAAAUGUCUUCCUGCAAGGAAAUGGACCUACCAAGGUGGAAUAAAUACACUUUUUGUACUAUGAGAAUUUGUUGCUGUAUUAAUGAGAUUCAAUUAAACCUGUAAUUAGAGUUUAAUAUUUGCAUUAUCCUUGGACUUGUAUGCCGUUAGAGCUCUUAUUGAUGUACUGUGCUUACUUCAUCUAGUUAGUAUUUACAUAAAUUGCCAUUUUCCAAAACAUUUGGUCACACCAGAAAAAAAGUGUUGGUGUGACCACCACUGUGAUAUGCCAAUUAUUUUCUAAUACUUCUAAACUGUCUAUGCAGCCAUGAGCAGCAGUAAUGCCAUUUUGUGAAAUGAUGUCUUAUAACUUGAUUUUACACAUGUUGUGUGUUUACUCAGACAUGUCUUUUCAACCAAAAUUGCCAAUGUUGAAAAACAAUAAAACAUCUGUCUAUUCUUAA